UCGUACCACGCUGGGGCGCUGGCGGUGCCUUGUCACUCCCGACAUCCGCCAUAGGGAGAGCGAUAAACUUGCCUGAGGGUGCAUCUUUUCUUGAUGUACGAUGCGACGAUAAGGUGUUUGAAAGUUCGGUUUCGUGCGGCAGUGAGUUUGUGAACCUCGUCAGAGCGGGAACGCAGCAGCGAUAAGCAAAUUUUCGUCUGGGCGCGCGAAGGCGCUGAACCUAGCUGAGUCCCGCGUCGUCUCAGGGGAAAUGCGCUCGAAGGCAGGCAGGUGCGG
rnacentral:SRP_RNA from 1 species